UACGUAGGGGGCAAGCGUUGUCCGGAUUUAUUGGGCGUAAAGAGCGUGUAGGCGGCUUUACAGGUCCGUUGUGAAAACUCGAGGCUCAACCUCGAGACGCCGGUGGAAACCGUAAGGCUAGAGUCCGGAAGAGGAGAGUGGAAUUCCUGGUGUAGCGGUGAAAUGCGCAGAUAUCAGGAGGAACACCCGUGGCGAAAGCGGCUCUCUGGGACGGUACUGACGCUGAGACGCGGAAAGCGUGGGGAGCAAACAGG
rnacentral:rRNA from 1 species